rnacentral:rRNA from 1 species
UACGUAGGGUGCAAGCGUUAAUCGGAAUUACUGGGCGUAAAGCGUGCGCAGGCGGUUAUGCAAGACAGAUGUGAAAUCCCCGGGCUCAACCUGGGAACUGCAUUUGUGACUGCAUGGCUAGAGUGCGGCAGAGGGGGAUGGAAUUCCGCGUGUAGCAGUGAAAUGCGUAGAGAUGCGGAGGAACACCGAUGGCGAAGGCAGCCCCCUGGGCUAGCACUGACGCUCAGGCACGAAAGCGUGGGGAGCAAACAGG